rnacentral:rRNA from 1 species
UACGGGGGGGGCAAGCGUUGUUCGGAAUUACUGGGCGUAAAGGGCUCGUAGGCGGCCCAACUAAGUCAGACGUGAAAUCCCUCGGCUUAACCGGGGAACUGCGUCUGAUACUGGAUGGCUGGAGUUUGGGAGAGGGAUGCGGAAUUCCAGGUGUAGCGGUGAAAUGCGUAGAUAUCUGGAGGAACACCGGUGGCGAAGGCGGCAUCCUGGACCAAUACUGACGCUGAGGAGCGAAAGCCAGGGGAGCAAACGGGG